rnacentral:rRNA from 1 species
GAUGAACGCUAGCUACAGGCUUAACACAUGCAAGUCGAGGGGCAGCAUGAACUUAGCUUGCUAAGUUUGAUGGCGACCGGCGCACGGGUGAGUAACACGUAUCCAACCUGCCGAUGACUCGGGGAUAGCCUUUCGAAAGAAAGAUUAAUACCCGAUGGCAUAGUUCUUCCGCAUGGUAGAACUAUUAAAGAAUUUCGGUCAUCGAUGGGGAUGCGUUCCAUUAGGUUGUUGGCGGGGUAACGGCCCACCAAGCCUUCGAUGGAUAGGGGUUCUGAGAGGAAGGUCCCCCAAAUUGGAACUGAGACACGGUCCAAAAUCCUACGGGAGGCAGCAGUGAGGAAUAUUGGUAAAUGGACGAGAGUCUGAACCAGCCAAGUAGCGUGAAGGAUGACUGCCCUAUGGGUUGUAAACUUCUUUUAUACGGGAAUAAAGUGAGGCACGUGUGCCUUUUUGUAUGUACCGUAUGAAUAAGGAUCGGCUAACUCCGUG